UUCCGUAGGUGAACCUGCGGAAGGAUCAUUAACGAAAUUGAUUUAUUCAUUUUUCUGUGAACUUUUUAUAAAAUUUUUGCUUUGGCGUCUUUAGUACGCCAAAAGAUUAAACUCAUUAACAUUUUUUUUUGUCAAACUAAAACAAAUUAAUUAAAUUUAAAACUUUCAACAACGGAUCUCUUGGUUCUCGCAUCGAUGAAGAACGCAGCGAAAUGCGAUACGUAAUGUGAAUUGCAGAAUUUUGUGAAUCAUCGAAUCUUUGAACGCACAUUGCGCCUUUUGGUACUCCAGGAGGCAUGCCUGUUUGAGCGUCAUUUCUACUUCACUUUUGUGGUUUUGUUGUAUCUCUUUUCGUAAGAGUACAAUGAAAGGAAAUGGCAGUACUUUUGGAAUUUUGCUCAAGUGUUUUAGGUUCUACCAACUACACUGAUAUAGCUAUUCCAAAAAGUUGGCUUGAAAAACUUCUUUCAAUGUUGACCUCAAAUCAGGUAAGAU
rnacentral:rRNA from 1 species